rfam:Helianthus annuus linkage group 8, whole genome shotgun sequence.
UCACUUACCUGGACGGGGUCAAUGGACGAUCAAGUAGGUCUAUGGCCUAGGUUGGUGACCUCCAUUGCACUCAGGAGGGGUGCCCGCCUAAGGUCGGCCCAAGUGGUCGAGCCUACGUCAUAAUUUGUGGCAGCUGGGGCCUGCGUUCGCGCGGCCCCUGC